CCAACAUCCCCUCGUAACUAUCAUUCAAUUCAAUCAAUAUACAUUUGGGGUGGGUAGAGUAAAAAAAAUUUUAGUCCGACUAGGCGUAAUCCGAUUAGUGUUGAUCCGAAACUCGCUAAGCUGGCGUGAUUGAGAGCCUUACUGGUUAUAGGUUCCCAACUAAUCCUAGGAAACGAAAAUCUCAACAAUUAGAUUGGUUGUAUCAAUUUCUAUUUGUUCCAAAUUAUUAGACUAUCAUGUUUUCUCACCCACUAUAAUUCUUGGCCGUGGGCCAUUUAGGGAGCCCAAUUGGGUGAAUAUAAUUCUAUUCAUUCUGAUUUUCCUGAAAUUCUGAGUAUGCCGCCGCUUGAGGAUUCCCCGCAAUUCAAAUAUGGCUUGCUUCAACCCUACUUUAGCAUGGAGAGAUUUGUCGGUACAUACGAUGAUCGUAAAUCCUACUGUCUCUAACCGAUUACACCCAAUGCAAGUAUUUCUUCCGGCUAAUUCGAGAGAGCAGGGUAGAAUCAUGGAGAAUAGUAUUUGAAGGAUAGUUUUGUGAACAUUGUGGGGAACAUGUUUCAUGGGUUGAGCCUUGUAACAUCUACUGUGAAGCAAAUUGAUUGUGAUUAUAACCAUGUUGGUGUUGUAAACACUGUCCAAGCAAUGGUAUCAAUAGCAACAAGUCGUGAAGAAUUCUAUAAGUUUAAACCUUCUGGGUCCCCAGUGGAUUGGGAGUGAGAAGCACAACUGCAUUUUGUAUGCAAGUAUUUUGCAAGAAUGUUUGAUCAUCUUGAAUUGUGGCUUACUAUCUGUAUUUUGCCAGGAAUGAUUGAUCUUCAACUUAGUUGUGCUUCAAUUAAAAUGAUCUUCUUCUGUCU